GUGCGGGACUCACCUUGUGCACCAGACCGCAGUCCGUCCUGAGCUCUUCACUUCCCCCUCCAGUGCACCAGCCGCGACGACCCCCACAUCCACCAGCUCCACCCAGAAAUGACAUGGAAAAACGGAAGAAAGCUGCGAGGAGCGGGUCUAAUGUGUCUGGAGAGGACUAGAAAAGUUUUCCUCCUCCGCCAACAGUUUCCUUCAUGUGUCUUCAGUGCAUGAGAGACACAUUUAGACAAGAUUCCCCCACCCCAAUUUCACACUACACUAAGAACUUGGAUGAUUCCCAUUUCUUUGCAUAACACGUCCACACAAGUCCUAUCCCUUAUUAUUAUUUUAUUAUUAUUUUUUUAAUUAAAAUGAUACCAAUUGACAUGGCCAUCCUUACUCCAUUUUUACUUUCAACACCAUUCGGGGCAUGACAUUACAGGAAAAUCAUCAAUGCCAAGAUAGUGUGAUGCAGCUGGAUGAAGAUGUUUCAAAAACCAGAUCGAAACUAGAUCUUGACAUUGCGCUUACAAUCUUAUGAUAAUCUCAUUUCAUUCCUCAAGUCGAAUUUGGACAAAAGGACCAGCCAAAUGAAUAAAUGUCAUGUGUGCUAUGCUGUUACAAAAAAAAUAAUGCCUGGAAAACUUUUCUAAUUUUAAAUCAUUCUGCUUAAGCUUCUACUCGGACGUGGCAGCUCGGUGGUUGAGAUGUUUGGUUCUGAUCAGAAGGUUGCGAGAUCAAAUCCCAGCACCACCAAGCUGCCACUGCUGGGUCCUUGAGUGUGGUUCUUAACCCUUCACUCCUCAGUUGUGUGGAUAAUGACAUCUGUAAAAUUCUGUACAUAUAAAUAAUAUGAAUAUAUAUCAAUAUUUUAAAUAAUAUACAGAAUUAUUCCUUCAAAAACAAACAAAGAUGUAAAAGCAUUAAGACAGCAUUGGAAGCGCAUUUAAAAUAUGUAGCAGACCAAGUUUCUUGGUAAAUUUAUUAACAAAAUGAUAAAAUAAAUAAAUACAAAUUGAUCAAUUGCUCCUAAUAUCAAUUUUUGUCUCACGUUCCCUACAGUAUUUCUAAACACUGCAUACAAACAACUCAGCACAGGCUCAAAUACAUGAGAGAGGUAAGAGAACCGACCAAUUCACUCACGAUGUCAGGCGAAAAAAGACAAAGCAAGAGUUCUGUAACAGAAAGAAUUCAUAAAAAUAAACGCACUCCGUUUUUUUUUCGUUUCUUAAAACCAUUAUGAAAAAUACAAACAAUUUUACAAAUAUUUAUAUUGUGUGUAAUAAACAAUUUACACAUAGUUCAGCACACCAGGUGAACGGGUUUGUAAUUACUCAAAUCGCUACAAUGCAUCUUGUGUUUCUUUAGUGGAAGAUUUUCCUUUUUUCGUCUUUUUUUUUUUUUCCAUUUUCUUUUUUUUUGCACGCGUAAACAAAAGUACUCCGAUUUUCAAGAGUUUGACUGCAGAUGAGGUAAAAGACACAGGCACGCGCUCUCUCUUUCAUACAUACACGCAUACAAAGGAGGUGUACAAUACCAGGGAAGUUACUGUAUAAUGAAAUGUAUUAACAAUACUAGAAGGCCACAAUCAUGACGGAGUAUAUAUAUAUAUAUAUAUAUAUAUAU